UACGUAGGGUGCAAGCGUUGUCCGGAAUUAUUGGGCGUAAAGAGCUCGUAGGUGGUCUGUUGCGUCGGCUGUGAAAACCCGAGGCUCAACCUCGGGCCUGCAGCCGAUACGGGCAGACUAGAGUUCGGCAGGGGAGACUGGAAUUCCUGGUGUAGCGGUGAAAUGCGCAGAUAUCAGGAGGAACACCGGUGGCGAAGGCGGGUCUCUGGGCCGAUACUGACACUGGAGGAGCGAAAGCGUGGGGAGCGAACAGG
rnacentral:rRNA from 1 species